GGGUGCUUAUUUGGUGAGGGGCCCCAAAGGAGAGUUGUUUCGUCUCCUUCCUACUCCUCUCCUCUCUUAACAGUCGAGCACCUA
rnacentral:tRNA from 1 species